UCUACUCGCUUUGUUUCCAAAAC
rnacentral:snRNA from 1 species